GACGAACGCUGGCGGCGCGCCUAACACAUGCAAGUCGAACGAGCGAGAGAGAGCUUGCUUUCUUGAGCGAGUGGCGAACGGGUGAGUAACGCGUGAGGAACCUGCCUCAAAGAGGGGGACAACAGUUGGAAACGACUGCUAAUACCGCAUAAGCCCACGACCCGACAUCGGGUUGAGGGAAAAGGAGCAAUCCGCUUUGAGAUGGCCUCGCGUCCGAUUAGCUAGUUGGUGAGGUAACGGCCCACCAAGGCGACGAUCGGUAGCCGGACUGAGAGGUUGAACGGCCACAGUGGGACUGAGACACGGCCCAGACUACUACGGGAGGAAGCAGAGGGGAAUAUUGCAAAAUGGGGGAAACCCUGAUGCAGCGACGCCGCGUGGAGGAAGAAGGUCUUCGGAUUGUAAACUCCUGUUGUUGAGGAAGAUAAUGACGGUACUCAACAAGGAAGUGACGGCUAACUACGUG
rnacentral:rRNA from 1 species